rnacentral:rRNA from 1 species
CCAGACUCCUACGGGAGACAGCAGUGGGGAAUAUUGGGCAAUGGGGGAAACCCUGACCCAGCGACGCCGCGUGAGGGAAGAAGGUUUUCGGAUUGUAAACCUCUGUCCUUGGUGACGAUAAUGACGGUAGCCAAGGAGGAAGCCACGGCUAACUACGUGCCAGCAGCCGCGGUAAUACGUAGGGGGCAAGCGUUAUCCGGAUUUACUGGGUGUAAAGGGAGCGUAGACGGAGAAGCAAGUCUGAAGUGAAAGCCCGUGGCUUAACCACGGGACUGCUUUGGAAACUGUUUGACUAGAGUGCUGGAGAGGUAAGUGGAAUUCCUAGUGUAGCGGUGAAAUGCGUAGAUAUUAGGAGGAACACCAGUGGCGAAGGCGGCUUACUGGACAGUAACUGACGUUGAGGCUCGAAAGCGUGGGGAGCAAACAGGAUUAGAUACCCUAGUAUA